rnacentral:rRNA from 1 species
GAUGAACGCUGGCGGCGUGCCUAAUACAUGCAAGUCGAGCGAACGGACGAGAAGCUUGCUUCUCUGAUGUUAGCGGCGGACGUGUGAGUAACACGUGUAUAACCUACCUAUAAGACUGGUAUAACUUCGGGAAACCGGAGCUAAUACCGGAUAAUAUUUUGAACCGCAUGGUUCAAAAGUGAAAGACGGUCUUGCUGUCACUUAUAGAUGGAUCCGCGCUGCAUUAGCUAGUUGGUAAGUUAACGGCUUACCAAGGCAGCGAUGCAUAGCCGACCUGAGAGGGUGAUAGGCCACACUGGAACUGAGACACGGUCCAGGCUACUACGGGAGGCAGCAGUAGGGAAUCUGCCGCAAUGGGCGAAAGCCUGACGGAGCAACGCCGCGUGAGUGAUGACGGUCUUCGGAUCGUAAAAAUCUGUUAUUAGGGAAGAACAUAUGUGUAAGUAACUGUGCACAUCUUGACGGUACCUAAUAAGAAAGCAACGGCUAACUACGUG